rnacentral:rRNA from 1 species
AAUGAACGCUGGCGGCGCGCCUAAUACAUGCAAGUCGAGCGAGAAGACGUAGCAAUACGUUUGUAAAGCGGCGAACGGGUGAGGAAUACAUGGGUAACCUACCCUAGAGUGGGGAAUAACUAGCCGAAAGGUUAGCUAAUACCGCGUACGCUCCUUGGACUUCGGUUCAGGGAGGAAAGCGAUGCCGAGGGUAUCGCGCUCUUGGAUGGGCUCAUGUCCUAUCAGCUGUUGGUGAGGUAACGGCUCACCAAGGCUUCGACGGGUAGCUGGUCUGAGAGGACGAUCAGCCACACUGGCACUGCGACACGGGCCAGACUCCUACGGGAGGCAGCAGUAAGGAAUAUUGCGCAAUGGGCGAAAGCCUGACGCAGCGACGCCGCGUGGGGGAUGAAGGUC